GUCGGCAUUCCCACCAGCAGUGAAGGAGAGUCCCUUUCUUCCCACAUCCACGACAAGAGCGGUUGUUUUGAGCAUCAUGGUCUGAGAGUGUUGAGCCCCCACGGCAGAGCCUAGCAAGCUACCCGUCGCGUAUUUGAUAUGCCAGCAACGGUGACAACAAUUGGCCUCAUUCACCUUUCACCGAAAGAGCCCCCAAUACGGCAGCGUUAAGAAAGAUGAGCAAAGAGAGGUUGAAAAAAUCUAGGGGAUGAACUAGACUGCCAAAAUGAAGAAAGACUAAAAUGAUUGUCUGUACUUUCAACGCACGAACAUUGGCAUCAGAAGCAUCCAUCAAGGACCUGUUUGUACAAGUGCAGAAGAUCAAGUACGACGUCAUUGGUCUGACCGAAAUGAGGAGACAUUAAUCACAUCACGCCAUUUUCGACACUGGAGAAGAAUUGUUCCUAGGAACAUGCAAAAACGGAGGCGUUGGUGGCGUUGGUGUUCUUGUCAACACAAACUCGGCCAUGAGCAUCGAUUCAUUCAAAUGCCUGACAACCCAAAUUAGAUGAUAACUCUUGAAUAGAUGUGGCUCACUGCCUGCAGUUUCUAUCUUCAUCAUCUACGCACCAACUUCCAACUACGAUGAAGAAGAAAUUGAGAGGUUCUACAUGGAACUGGAGAAGUUCUAUAAAGAAGACCACAUCUUCUACAAGACCAUUAUUGGUAAUUUUAAUGCCAAGAUAGGUCCAAGAAGGCCGCCCGAAGAACUCCACAUUGGGACACAGCCUAGAAUGGAACAAUCAGGGUGAGUGACUAUCUGAAUUCAUCAUGUCGACCAAGACCAUCCAUGGUAACUCACAGUUCCAGAAGGUCGAAUCUAAACGCUGGAUAUGGGAGUCUCCCGGUGGACAUUUCCACAAUGAAAUUGACCACAUCAUAUUAAAUCGAAGGUUUUGCCUGACUGAUGUCGCUCUUGUCCCCAAAUUCCAAACGGGAUCAGACCAUCGUCUCCUUUGUGCAAAAUUCUACUACACAGAGUUGGGAGAAAUGUCUGCAAAAUUUAAGUCUAAUAAGACAACUCCCAGAAUGACCACCAACUGGGAGCUUUUUUGGCACUAUUGCAACAACGUGGGAAGAUGCCGUCCUUGACAACAUCGACGAGGAAUACGAUCGACUGGUUCAGCACAGCACCUCCUUGUCUGUGCGAAGAAUGCCAAGAGUGAGAAAGCCACAAACAGAUGCCUGUUUUUGGACACUCUCGAGCUCAAUCGUCAACGUGGUUUGGCGCGAGCCUCAGGCAACCACAAACUAACAUCCUAGCUCACAAAGCUAUGCCGAGAUGCAAGAAAGGAAGACCUCAAAGAGAGAGGAGGAGCAGUGUUGGCCGGUGCAGCAGAAGCCUGGAAAAGUAUUCACAACGCUCGCCUGUCCUUCGCCAACUAAAAGACCAGGAUGACUGCCCUCUGACAUCCCGAUGGAUCUAUCACAUCCUGCAGAAAGGCAAUGGAGAAUAUUAUUCACGACUUCUACUCGGACCUCUUUGACAGCCAUGUCCACCUGACCACAUACCAAAUUCCGCAGGAUGGAUAUGUCGCUCCCAGCGUUCUCCCUUCUGAAAUCCGACACGCCGUUUCACUGCUAAAGACGCAAACAGCACCUGGUCCAGACAAGGUCAGACCCGAACACCUGAAGAAUCUGUCGCCGGUACUCAUCAAUCCAUGGGUCCGACCCUUCACACGCUACCUGUUUGAAUGCAAGGUUCCGUCCCAGUGGAAAACCAGAAGGACCGUUCUGUUGUACAAGAAGGGAGACAUCCACGGCAUUGGCAACUAUCGCCCAGUCUGCCUGCUGUCUGUCGUCUACAAGUUGUUCAUUCGUGUCAUCCUGAAUAGAAUAGGCAGAACACUAGACGAAGGACAACCAUGCUAGCAAGCCGUGUUCCGAAGGGGAUUCUGUACGAUAGACCAUAUCCACACAGUGACCAAACUCAUUAAAUUUUCGCGGGAGUUUAAGAUGCCGCUCUGUCUAACGGUCAUCGACUUAAAGAGGGCCUUCAAUUCUGUUGAGACUGAGGCGGUCAUCAAAACCCUGGCCAAAAAGGGCAUUCAAACUCAGCAUAUCAAAAUCCUCCGCGAGCUGUAUUGUGGAUUCACCACCAGGAUCUCACCAUUCUACAAGGAAGUGAUCAUUGAUGUAAAGAGAGGGGUGUGGCAGGAUGAUACCCCUACCCCUAGCCUGAUGCAUUGAUAGAACCUUUUUAUGUUCGGUUAUUGAAGUUCGAGUCUCAUGAUUUCUGUCUUGCUGACUCUGGAACUAUUGAUAUUUAGCUCAUUAUUCCUGAAUACCACUGAUGUCCCUUGACAGUUGUACGCUUUUGCAUCUUAUUGGUCACCCCCCGUCUUUUCUUUUCGUCCAUAUCUAUAUAUUGUGUCCAGUGGUGAUCUAGGCAUCCACCCAUGAAGCAUUUCAUUUCUUCAUCUGAUUACUCUAAAUAUCACAUGUAAGUGAAAUUAUAUUGUGUUUACUAUUCUUC